ACGCCUGUAGAAGACAAGCGCCUUCCUCGACCUGCAAAAAUUAAGCACCAAACCAGCAGCAGCACUGUUCCAGGUGGCGAGAGGAUGUUCCAAAGUUAGAAUUGCUAUUGUGGGAAAAAGUUUGAUCUGAAGCACCCGUUUGAAGUCUUACCCAGUUACCCGAGAUAUCACCUCGGCACUUUCGUUCAAAUAUUUCUCCUCACCCAGCAGUACUUCAGGUCAGCACGACCUCGUAGGAAUCUGGUUUUCGGAACGCCUGUAGGAGACAAGCGCCUUCCUCGACCUGCCAAAGUUAAGCACCAAACCAGCAGCAGCACUGUUCCAGGUGGCGAGAGGAUGUUCCAAAGUUAGAAUUGCUAUUGUGGAAAAAAGUUUGUUCUGAAGCAUCCAUUUGAAGUCUUACCCAGUUACCCGAGAUAUCAACUCGGCACUUUCGUUCAAAUAUUUCUCCUCACCCAGCAGUACUUCAGGUCGCCUGUAAGCGCCUUCUUCAGGAGCCAUAUGAAUUAGCCUUCACCUGGAUAUGACAGGAGACGAACAGCCUUGACCCGUCACAGGAAGUAGUGUUUACCAUAAUUCGGGUGAGAAGUUACCUAAUUCGCAACAAAUUUUUAAAAAAUUUUUUAACAUCCAUUAAUACAAGGUCCGGCUAUUAAUUUCCAGGACUCAUGGAAUAACUCAGAAGAAAAUAAAAUUAAACACAUAGCCAUUUAAUAUUAUUUGAAGUAAUCCCCACCAGCCGUAAUGCACGUCUGUGCUCGGCUGUACAAAUUUCGGAAAGAAGUUUUAAAGUCCUCUUUUGGAAUGCUCUUUAAUAGUGGCGUAACAAUCUUCUUGAUGGCUUCGACAUCUUUAAAUCUUGUCCCCUUCAGCAAAUUUUUCAGCUUAGAAAACAGUCUGCGGGUGCUAGGUCUUGAGAGUAUGGUGGAUGCUGCAUCUCAACGACACCAUGCAGGGCUAAGAAUCGCCUUCCAGGUAGUGCAAUGUUCGGAAGCGAACUUUUUCAAUUGCUUCCGGCGUGCGUAACAACUGCGACCGACUUGUGUGUGGAUCAUCUUCCACGCUUUCGCUCUGUCCUGAAAUCGUUUAAACCAUUCAAAAGUUCUUGAGCGACAUGAUGCUUCCGCGCCGUAAACUUGUUUUAACAAUUUGUAGGUUUCCGCAGCUGUCUUGCCCAAUUUGAAGCAACAUUUAAUGUUUAUUCUUGCUCCAUUUUCACUUCGACAACAGGAAUUUAAGAGCUACGUUUUAAUGCGCCUUUCCACGAGAACCACUUACUUCAGUAUGGUGCCGAUUGCGCUGCACGUGCGCAAGAAAACACUGCUGGCAGAGUUUAGUGCUUUGUGGAAAUUGCUUAGUAAGCAUAAUGAAAAAGUCAACUUUCAACUAACAAGAAAAUUUAUUAAGCAGGAAAAGUCAUAACUUAACUUAAACAUCAUAAAGGAAAACAAUCCUCUCCAUAACAUGAGGUAACGAAUUCAAUAACAUACAGUCAUGAAAAUCAAACGAAACAAAACUCCAAAUCCAAUCUUGAUUUGUUAUAUAUAUACACGAAGUAACACUUGCAUAAUGAGGGUACUUACACACUCAAAAUUAAUACUAUGCAAAUUCUGUCUUUGAAUUAUUUUUAAAUGUUCGAACUCCCUCUUUCAGAGGUUUUUCGAACUCUUGAUCUCUUACUCGAACCUUGUUCAUUGAAAUUCAUAGUCUGACAAACACUCUUCAAUAUGCAAUCAUUAGCGCCAUCUUCCGGCUUUUCGUUCUCCUACAGUUACGUCAGUCCUGGAAAUUAAUAGCCGGACCUUGUGUUUGAUUUGUUUUUUUCUGUAAUUUAUUGUAGAUUAAUAUUCA